rnacentral:rRNA from 1 species
AAUAUUAGACAAUGGGGGCAACCCUGAUCCAGCCAUGAUGCGUGUGUGAAGAAGGUAUUCGGAUUGUAUAGCACUUUAUGUUGGGAGGAAGGGCUUUAGGUUAAUAACCUGAAGUAUUGACGUUACAAACAGAAUAAGCACCGGCCAGUUCUGUGCAAGCAGCCGCGGUAAUACAGAGGGUGCAAGCGUUAAUAGGACUUACUGGGCGUAAAGCGAGCGUAGGUGGUUCAGUAAGAUGGGUGUAAAAUCCCCGGGCUUAAACUGGGAACUGAUUUCAUAACUGCUAGGCUAGAUUACGGUAGAGGGUAGUGGAAUUUCCGGUGUAGCGGUGAAAUGCGUAGAUAUAGGAAGGAACACCAGUGGCGAAGGCGACUACCUGGACUGAUACUGAAACUGAGGUGCGAAAGCGUGGGGAGCAAACA